AAAAUUUUGAAAACCCGCCUCGAUUUUUCUAUCUUCUAUCUAUCUUUCAUCCUUGCAAUCCACUCUCCCCUCUCUGAUACUCUCUCCUCUAUAUCUCCCUUCAUUCUCUACCUCCCGUCUCUCUGUAAACCCUAAGCCAUCGCCACCUCCCUUCUCUCUAGCACGUGCUAGGGUUUUAUUUUCUUUCAAGCUUCCGCUUCUCUCAUUUUCUCUCAACCCAGUACGUGCGAGGGUUCGGAAUAACUGCGCGAAUUUGAACAAUCAAUCUUCCAUUUGAACUUCUUUCAACUCUGGAUCAUCGGGUUUUUUUUUUUCAGAUUCCUUUUCCGAUUUUGUUCAUUUAAGACAAAGAAAGAUUGGGACGAUGGGUAUGUUCAAACCCUAGACCACAUUCAUGCCUCUCCAUCCACACUCGCUACCUUUUCCUCUGUUUCUUCCUCUAACACCAUUGAUCUAGGGAAAAAUCUCCGCCAUCUUCAGUUCAUCUUCAGUAAUAUGGAUUUGCAACCUCUGAUUUUGGAAGGGAGAUAUCGGGUUUCUGGAAUUUUAUCGUGAUAUGAAACCCAAUAACUGAAGUGAUGAGAAGUCAGGGGUAUUUUGGACCAUACGAGUCAAAUAUAUUGGAAGGGUCAUGACCGGUGACAAGGAGGGGCAAGAAGGGCGGCCCAUUAUUUUUAGGGGGCCUAAAAAUAAAGAUAGUUCAGUUUUUCACGUAGUCGCACGCGAUAAGGCGACAUAGAUCGAUUGCAGCAGAACACAUAGAUCAUCCACGAUUCACGCUUCAACGACAGCAUCGACUAACGAGGUCCCAGGGUUGAUGUGAUUCUGUGAAGGAUCAAUUUAUGCACUCCUACAGUCUUGCUUAUUUUUCUGACUGCUAAUCAGGUUCACUCUUUUGUCUGAAUCAGAUUCUUGGAGCACCAAAUGAGGAGGAAAUUUUGUUAAUUCACAAAAUAUUCAGAUUGUGUCUAGCAGGAGGGAGGGAAGUCCAUGAUGUGGUUGUGAAAAGUAUUCAAGAUCUGGCAAAAGCAUUCUCACUUUAUGAUGUUGAAAUGCUGGUAAGAAGGGAAGAAUUACUUCAGUUUACUCAAAUUGCAAUCAUUGGGCUCAAAGAAACUGGUGACAUAGCAUGGUAGAAUAGAUUUUGAAAUCUCACAAAUACAUCAAUGAUUGAAUAGAAUGAAAUGCCAGCAAUCUGCACAUGAAGCCAGUGACAAUUCUUCUGAGGCAACAAGCACUGCAUCAUUAAUGGAAAUAGAAGAACCUGUUACACAUAUUCAGUUGUGCUGCAGAUUGAAAUCAUUUUUACUGAAGAAACGAUUGUUGAGAUAUGGGGAUAUAAUCGAGACUCAUGCUCAGAGAGUUGAUAUAUUAAAAGUUCUAGUGGAAUCUCUUCAUAACUAGGCCUCCAAAACAGAAAAGCGAAUUUAAUUUGGAGCAGAGGGAAAGAAAAACGAAGCCCUUACUUUUCGUGUAGCUAGAAGCAAUGAAGUCAGCCAAAUUGAGAAGGAGUUAGGAGCUUAAAUUAGUGAGCUUGAAAAGCAAAGAGACAAAAUCAAAGCUGGAUUGAGAGAGAGGAAAAAGUGAUAUGUGUGCAAUACGAAAGAGGAUGAUUGCUGGAGGGAAAUAAUGAACAUCAGGUUGGGCGCAAGUUUUACACCAAUGGGCUAUAAGGUGGACUGAGGUGAUAGAUCAACUAGAGGGGUCAUCCUUUUAAAAGAUUGAUUUUAUCGCCUCUAUAUGUUAAAGGACUUGGUAGAUCAUCAUCCGGUGGAAUCUUGAGUUCCAUUACUUAUGGAGCCAAUGAGAUUGCUUCUUCUAUUCUAGCAAAGUAUCACAAGUCAAAGUAAGUAAAACAAAGGGAAUUUCAAUCGAGUUAAUUUAGAUAAAGAUAAAGGUAUAGGGGAAUCGUCUAUCCUCUUGCAUGCCUUCUAGAACCUUUUAUGCCAUCGUUUUCUAUUGAGGCAAGUAAAUUCCCACUAAUCUGUUUCCAAUCUGUAAAAUACCGUUUUUACCCCUUCAAAUAAUUCUUUCUAUUUGUUUUAUUGAUACACAGGUCCUCAAGCAGCUCAAUUUGCCCCUUCAACUAUCCCUAUAUGAUGAUAAGGGAGAUAUCAAAAAGGCCAAAACCCCUUGGGAGUUCAUACCUAUUGGCCACAAAAUUGGGACCUUUGUUCCAUUAUUCAAGGAAUUGAAAGAUGAAGAAGUGGAGUUUUUCCGGAAUAAAUUUUGCUGGCAGUCAAGCUGACCGAGCUGACUAGGCUGUUAAGGAAGAAGCUAAAGCAAAAAAAGUUACUGAAAAGUUGAAGAACACAAAAAUUUCAGAUAAAAGUGGAAAGAAAGAAAAGGGGGAGAAGUCUGGUGUUGGUGAAAAAGCAAAAACAAAAGGGAGCUGUUGUGGAAAAGGAAGUAACAAAGGGAGAGGAUUCUUUUCCAUUAUUAACUAAAACUACAUGAAGUUAAAGUUAGGUCCUCUUCUUUGUGUUGAGUGCUUGUUGCUCUGAUUUUGAUCUAUGUGUUAAGUGCUUUUCUGUUGGUGCUGAGGUUUAUCCUCAUAAAAGCAAUCAUCCAUAUAGAGUUACAGUUAGUAAUUUCUUAUUGGUAUACAAUUGUUGAAGUUUGUUGUUGUGUUCCACUAUAUCCCCGGUGACCACAAGCCACCACCAGAGGACCACCAUUAAACACCCCCAAUAUCCGGUGGCCACUGCCCACAGAACAAGUAAGGAUGCUUUGAUUUGUUUUUUUACUGAUGUGUUGUUUUUCAGUGACCACCAGCCACCAUCGGAAGACCACCAUUGAAGCCAACCAGGAGAAAUCUUGCUGCCACUGCCAUAUAACAGUCAUCUACUAAAGCAAGGUUGGUGUAAGAGUUGAUGACGAGAACAUUGUUCCAAGACCUUCAGUGAGUUAUGAUGAUGUCCUUUAAUAGCAAUGUAGUAUUAGGUUAUAUAGUUAGCAAUGAUUAUUUGUAUUUGACAUUUUAGUGCAAUGAAUUAUCUUUCUUAUUUAUUGUAUUUUAUUUUGUAUUUUGUAUGACAUUAACUUUUGUGCAAUGGAUUGUAUUUUUUGUA